UCCAAGUUUCUUUAACGCAAA
rnacentral:piRNA from 1 species